rnacentral:rRNA from 1 species
CCUCGGGAGGCAGCAGUAAGGAAUAUUGGUCAAUGGACGAAAGUCUGAACCAGACAUGCCGCGUGCAGGAUGACUGCCCUAUGGGUUGUAAACUGCUUUUAUAUAGGAAGAAAAACUUUCUCGUGAGAAAGCUUGACGGUACUAUAAGAAUAAGGAUCGGCUAACUCCGUGCCAGCAGCCGCGGUAAUACGGAGGAUCCAAGCGUUAUCCGGAAUCAUUGGGUUUAAAGGGUCCGUAGGUGGACAAAUAAGUCAGAGGUGAAAUCCUGCAGCUCAACUGUAGAACUGCCUUUGAUACUGUUUGUCUUGAGUUAUUAUGAAGUGGUUAGAAUGUGUAGUGUAGCGGUGAAAUGCAUAGAUAUUACACAGAAUACCGAUUGCGAAGGCAGAUCACUAAUAAUCAACUGACACUGAUGGACGAAAGCGUGGGUAGCGAACAGGAUUAGAUACCCUGGUAGUCCACGCCGUAAACGAUGGUCACUAGCUGUUUGGACUUCGGUCUGAGUGGCUAAGCGAAAGUGAUAGUGACCCACCUGGGGAGUACGUUCGCAAGAAUGAAACUCAAAGGAAUUGACGG